UACGUAGGGGGCUAGCGUUGUCCGGAAUCAUUGGGCGUAAAGAGCGCGUAGGCGGUCCGGUAAGUCCGCUCUGAAAGUCCGGGGCUCAACCCCGGGAGGCGGGCGGAUACUGUCGGGCUAGAGUCCGGAAGAGGCGAGUGGAAUUCCUGGUGUAGCGGUGAAAUGCGCAGAUAUCAGGAGGAACACCGAUGGCGAAGGCAGCUCGCUGGGACGGUACUGACGCUGAGGCGCGAAAGCGUGGGGAGCAAACA
rnacentral:rRNA from 1 species